AACGAACGCUAGCGGUGUGGAUUAGGCAUGCAAGUCGCGCGCGAAAGCCUUCGGGCGAGUAAAGCGGCGAAAGGGUGAGUAACACGUAACCAACGUACCCCUCAGACUGGGAUAACCACUGGAAACGGUGGAUAAUACCGGAUGGUCCACUGGGCAGCAUUGCCUGGCUGGUAAACGGCGGCCGCAAGGCGGUUGCUGAGGGAGCGGGUUGCGGCCUAUCAGCUUGUUGGUGAGGUAACGGCUCACCAAGGCUAUGACGGGUAACAGGUCUGAGAGGAUGAUCUGUCACACUAGGACUGAGACACUGCCCAGACUCCUACGGGAGGCUGCAGUCGAGAAUCUUCCACAAUGGGCGAAAGCCUGAUGGAGCGACACCGCGUGCAGGAUGAAGGCC
rnacentral:rRNA from 1 species